GCCAUUACGGUUUUCCGCACUGAAGAAGGAGACAUGCCUUGCGAAUUUCAACGAGGAGAGAAUUCGAAAUUGGGGUCGCUGGAGGAAUUUGCUAACCCAAAGCAACCAAAACUGGUGCGAGAAGGAAUUGGAAAAUAGAAGAAAUCGUUGAAGCGGAAAUCGGGGUCGUCGGAUGACAAGAAACAAAGACAAAAUCAACUAGGAGAGCAAAAAGAACUGGAGAAAUCAUUCAACGAUUCUGAUGACAAUAUUGAUUGGCGUAAUUGCUAUGCUGAACAGAUGAACAAGAGUGAGGGAUUUGACGUUGAGUAUGUUCCCCAGAAUGUGUGUAUCAUUGGUUUAAUUCAUCCACAUAAAAACUUCGACAAAAAUCCCUAGUUCCUUGUGUAGGUCGAAAAGGCGUCAAGGAUGGCUACUGAACACUACAACGCUAUCAACAAAACGGAUUACUGGUUUGUGAGGGUCGUCAAGGUAUGCUCAUAGCUUGUUGCUCGUUUAAAUCACUAUAUUACCUUCGAGGUCGAGGCCUUUGGUGGAACCCAGUCUCUUGUGCUCUUCCAAGCUUUGGUGUACGUUGGAAUUGAUGAGAAUCCGAUCGAAGUCAACUUUUGCAGGGUUAAACCAGAAUCCUAAUUGCUGAAAGGUAUGGUUUAGUUGCGUGUCUUAUUCACUGUUCUUGAUUUUGUUGAUGAUUACUCUAUGCAUUAUACAGUUCAAUAGCUUUCGUUAUGGUGAAAAGGGGAUGCAGAAAACAGUCCAAUAGUUUUUGUUAUGCUGAGAAGGAGAAAUAAUUUAGCCCUUCUGGAAUUGUUUCCAUGACAUCGCCAUAGAUUAGAUGGUUUUCUAUCUUCCAGUAAUAAUGGGUUAGUAUGUUUAUGUGGUUUUACGUUUG